rnacentral:rRNA from 1 species
AGAGUUUGAUCCUGGCUCAGGACGAACGCUGGCGGCGUGCCUAAUACAUGCAAGUCGAGCGGACCGACGGGAGCUUGCUCCCUUAGGUCAGCGGCGGACGGGUGAGUAACACGUGGGUAACCUGCCUGUAAGACUGGGAUAACUCCGGGAAACCGGGGCUAAUACCGGAUGCUUGAUUGAACCGCAUGGUUCCAAUCAUAAAAGGUGGCUUUUAGCUACCACUUACAGAUGGACCCGCGGCGCAUUAGCUAGUUGGUGAGGUAACGGCUCACCAAGGCGACGAUGCGUAGCCGACCUGAGAGGGUGAUCGGCCACACUGGGACUGAGACACGGCCCAGACUCCUACGGGAGGCAGCAGUAGGGAAUCUUCCGCAAUGGACGAAAGUCUGACGGAGCAACGCCGCGUGAGUGAUGAAGGUUUUCGGAUCGUAAAACUCUGUUGUUAGGGAAGAACAAGUACCGUUCGAAUAGGGCGGUACCUUGACGGUACCUAACCAGAAAGCCACGGCUAACUACGUGCCAGCAGCCGCGGUAAUACGUAGGUGGCAAGCGUUGUCCGGAAUUAUUGGGCGUAAAGCGCGCGCAGGCGGUUUCUUAAGUCUGAUGUGAAAGCCCCCGGCUCAACCGGGGAGGGUCAUUGGAAACUGGGGAACUUGAGUGCAGAAGAGGAGAGUGGAAUUCCACGUGUAGCGGUGAAAUGCGUAGAGAUGUGGAGGAACACCAGUGGCGAAGGCGACUCUCUGGUCUGUAACUGACGCUGAGGCGCGAAAGCGUGGGGAGCGAACAGGAUUAGAUACCCUGGUAGUCCACGCCGUAAACGAUGAGUGCUAAGUGUUAGAGGGUUUCCGCCCUUUAGUGCUGCAGCAAACGCAUUAAGCACUCCGCCUGGGGAGUACGGUCGCAAGACUGAAACUCAAAGGAAUUGACGGGGGCCCGCACCAACGGUGGAGCAUGUGGUUUAAUUCGAAGCCACGCGAAGAACCUUUCCAGGUUUUGACAUCCUUUGACAACCCUAGAGAUAGGGCUUCCCCUUCGGGGGGCAGAGUGACAGGUGGUGCAUGGUUGUCGUCAGCUCGUGUCGUGAGAUGUUGGGUUAAGUCCCGCAACGAGCGCAACCCUUGAUCUUAGUUGCCAGCAUUCAGUUGGGCACUCUAAGGUGACUGCCGGUGACAAACCGGAGGAAGGUGGGGAUGACGUCAAAUCAUCAUGCCCCUUAUGACCUGGGCUACACACGUGCUACAAUGGGCAGAACAAAGGGCAGCGAAGCCGCGAGGCUAAGCCAAUCCCACAAAUCUGUUCUCAGUUCGGAUCGCAGUCUGCAACUCGACUGCGUGAAGCUGGAAUCGCUAGUAAUCGCGGAUCAGCAUGCCGCGGUGAAUACGUUCCCGGGCCUUGUACACACCGCCCGUCACACCACGAGAGUUUGUAACACCCGAAGUCGGUGAGGUAACCUUUUGGAGCCAGCCGCCGAAGGUGGGACAGAUGAUUGGGGUGAAGUCGUAACAAGGUAACC